rnacentral:rRNA from 1 species
GGCGGCAGGCCUAACACAUGCAAGUCGAGCGGUAGAGAGAAGCUUGCUUCUCUUGAGAGCGGCGGACGGGUGAGUAAUACCUAGGAAUCUGCCUGAUAGUGGGGGAUAACGUUCGGAAACGGACGCUAAUACCGCAUACGUCCUACGGGAGAAAGCAGGGGACCUUCGGGCCUUGCGCUAUCAGAUGAGCCUAGGUCGGAUUAGCUAGUUGGUGAGGUAAUGGCUCACCAAGGCUACGAUCCGUAACUGGUCUGAGAGGAUGAUCAGUCACACUGGAACUGAGACACGGUCCAGACUCCUACGGGAGGCAGCAGUGGGGAAUAUUGGACAAUGGGCGAAAGCCUGAUCCAGCCAUGCCGCGUGUGUGAAGAAGGUCUUCGGAUUGUAAAGCACUUUAAGUUGGGAGGAAGGGCAGUUACCUAAUACGUGAUUGUCUUGACGUUACCGACAGAAUAAGCACCGGCUAACUCUGUGCCAGCAGCCGCGGUAAUACAGAGGGUGCAAGCGUUAAUCGGAAUUACUGGGCGUAAAGCGCGCGUAGGUGGUUUGUUAAGUUGAAUGUGAAAUCCCCGGGCUCAACCUGGGAACUGCAUCCAAAACUGGCAAGCUAGAGUAUGGUAGAGGGUAGUGGAAUCUCCUGUGUAGCGGUGAAAUGCG